AACCUUUGCUGUCUUGGGACGGAUCACCGCUGCAAGAGGGGAAGUUGCUACUGUGAUGAAUUCUGCCAUGUGGCACCAGACUGCCACCCAGACCACAGUGUCCUCUGCAACCCUGGUCAAAGGUGCCUACAUGCUCCUUCUAGCUUUGUUUCCCUGAUGUUCCUUGCCACCUGCUACUCCUCUCUGAGCUACUUUUCCAGCUUCUCAGAUGACCAAGAUGGUGCUGCAGAUGGUGCUGAGGAUGGAGAACCCACCAAGCCCCGCUAGGAGCCACCUAGACUGGAUGCAGAGCAUGCUCCACCGGGAACUCCACGCCCACGCGCCUCACUUCCAGGUCUCCUUACUGCGUGUCAGGAGAGGCUAACGGACAUCAGCUGCAGCCAGGCAUGUCCCGUAUGCCAAAAGAGGGUGCUGCCCCUAGCCUGGGCCCCCACCGACAGACUGCAGCUGCGUUACUG
ensembl:lncRNA MUC20-OT1 MUC20 overlapping transcript